UACGUAGGGGGCUAGCGUUGUCCGGAUUUAUUGGGCGUAAAGAGCGUGUAGGCGGCCAAAUAGGUCCUCUGUGAAAACUCGAGGCUUAACCUCGAGAUGUCGGUGGAAACCAUCUGGCUAGAGUCCGGAAGAGGAGAGUGGAAUUCCUGGUGUAGCGGUGAAAUGCGCAGAUAUCGGGAGGAACACCAGUAGCGAAGGCGACACUCUGGGCCGGUACUGACGCUGAGGAGACGAAAGCGUGGGGAGCAAACAGG
rnacentral:rRNA from 1 species